UAUUGACAUCUUUACUGCAAUAACACAAAUGCAAAGUCAUCAAUUUCAAACAUACUGGAACUUUACAGAGAUAGUUAUUAGAGAAAAUCAUUGCAUCGUAUGUGCACAAAAGAACUGUAAACCAAAAAGCAAAAGUAGAGUAGAAACGAAAUAGGGACUCUUAAAUUGUCUCAGAAAUAGAGUUCAGUUUCUCAAUCUCAAAAAUAUUCUACAAAAGUGUCAGCUAGGGUUAGAAGAAUACUUGUUCACUUAUACAUUUUCCAAAUGCACUUUUAAACGUUAUGAAGGGUCCAUAAUCCUUUUAUGACCAGAUUAGACUAGUAUAAGAUUAAACCCACCAAGCUUCUGUUU